AUUGAACGCUGGCGGCAUGCCUUACACAUGCAAGUCGAACGGCAGCACGGGAGCAAUCCUGGUGGCGAGUGGCGAACGGGUGAGUAAUACAUCGGAACGUGCCCAGUCGUGGGGGAUAACUACUCGAAAGAGUAGCUAAUACCGCAUACGACCUGAGGGUGAAAGCGGGGGAUCGCAAGACCUCGCGCGAUUGGAGCGGCCGAUGUCAGAUUAGCUAGUUGGUGGGGUAAAGGCCUACCAAGGCAACGAUCUGUAGUUGGUCUGAGAGGACGACCAGCCACACUGGGACUGAGACACGGCCCAGACUCCUACGGGAGGCAGCAGUGGGGAAUUUUGGACAAUGGGCGCAAGCCUGAUCCAGCAAUGCCGCGUGCAGGAAGAAGGCCUUCGGGUUGUAAACUGCUUUUGUCAGGGAAGAAAUCCUCUGGGUUAAUACCUCGGGGGGAUGACGGUACCUGAAGAAUAAGCACCGGCUAACUACGUGCCAGCCGCCGCAGUAAAAC
rnacentral:rRNA from 1 species